ensembl:snRNA U6 U6 spliceosomal RNA
GUGCUUGCUUCAGUAGCACAUUUACUAAAUUCGGAAUGAUACAGAGAAGAUUAGCAUGGCCCCUGUACAAGGAUAACUCAUGAAAUACAGUGAAUCUAUAAAAACCA